GAGAAAGAGAGAAGAAGAGAAAGAAAGAAGAAGACCCGAUUGGAAUUCACUCUCCUAUCCUCAAUGUCUCAUUUGUUUUUCUUUUCUUUUCUUCGCUC
rnacentral:ribozyme from 1 species